UAUCCUAUCUUACAGGAAACCAAGAAUAAUGGCUAAAAUAGUCUCCGAGAUAGAGCCGGUAGUCAACCCAAACCUACGUGAAAUCCGUGUUGUAUAAAGUGGAAUCCUUAUGACAACAAAGGCCCACUUUGCUUUUUAUUAGUAGAUUACUUCAUAUGGGUAUGGCCUUAUGAAUCAAGAGUUAAAUCGUUAUCUACAUAUUCAUCUUUAGAUUCCUAACCCUCAAAAUAAAUAGUAGUGGUUACUUUUUUAAAAAAUUUAUAUAUACUCCGAUUUCUGAACCAUUGUCGUGCAAUCAUCUUCCUAAGCUGAAUUUCCUAUUUCAUAUAGUCUGUUUCUAAGCUCAAAGCACACUUACAUGAGAAGUCAUUUGUUAUUGAGGUAUGUCGUUUUAAAACACACACAUAACUAUACCAUAGACAAAAUAAUAAUUUUAACACACCAGGGGUGUUUUGGUAAUUUCUUGAAAGAUAUAGUUCUAAUCCGAGACAUAUGCUCCUCUCUAUGCGCCAGAAACAGGAUAUGAGUGGCUCAUAAUAGUAUGAAGAAAAUUGCACCUGCACUUGCAGCCAAACAUGAUGUUGCAGUGGCUGGAACAAAUAUUGGGGAGCCUGAGAGGAAGUGAUUUCUACUAUCUCUAAUUCUUAUAUUGAUAUGGAUCAGAGCAAGCACAUUUUUACUAUUUAAAAUAUGGUAUGGUCAUUGUUAUAUUCCAAUAUGCUAUGUUUGGAGAUGCUAUGAGAAAGGGAAAGGGAAUCUCUGGCGGUCAAAAAGAAAAGAUGGUAACUUCUGCAAUUUAUGCUUAUUCGACCUGGUCAAUACAUCAGCCCUAUUUGGAUGCAAGUAUGGUUGUUUGCAGGGGAGAUGAUUCUUGGUCCAACAAAAGUGUAGUGAUGCUAAUUCUUAGUGGCGCUAUUAAUCAAUCCGAGCCGUAUGUAGGCCAAUGUGGGAUUUGGACUUACGACACAUAUGAUUGACCAUUGCAAGAUGAUUCUUAAGUUUAGAAAAAAAGUGCAAGAAGACGUUGAAGAGUAUUUCAAUCAUUUUCAAGAUUCAGUUGUAGAUGAUGACUUAGAAACUCUGCAAGUUUCAAGUGAUAUCUUGGAAAACAGUAAAGAUCAAUAGAUCCAGAUAUACCUAAAGACUUGAAUACCAUUCAGAUUGCUGAGUUGAAGAUGAUCAAAGUAGGCGAAGCAAGAGACAAGAAGCCAAAGAAAGCACAAUAAGAUAUUCAAAAGAAGAAUGGGGUAAUAGCCUCUGCACUUCAUGGGUGGGUAAAUUUGGGUUAGCAUUGACCGCAAACUUGAUUUGGAAGUUACGAGCAAACUUGAUUUUGGAAGAUGCAAAUUUGAUUGCUGUGAUGGAUGGUGGUCAGUGUGUUGAAUGGGGUCACAUGGUGAACUGAUUAGUGCACAUGGGUUGUAUUCAAAGCUUCUUAGAUGUGAAGAAGUGGUCAAACUUCCUGAAAGGUUACCAAGUAAGAAUGGCAAUGCCAAUGACUCAAAGUUUUCGGUUCGGUCAACAGCUGCUCAACGGUCAGAUCUGGUGCGAUUCUCGGUUUGGGUUUGGGAAAUCUGAGCCAAUCCCCGGUCAGUUUCGCGAUUCUCGGUCAGUUUCAGGUUUUUGGUUUGGGUCGAAAGCAGUCAAAGGACCCGGUUCGGGUUAGCAGCAGUCAAACAAGUCAAAGAUGGUCAACUAAGGACCAGUAAAGUUUAAACGUAGCGAGUUAUUAUUACGUUAGUUUAGAUUUUAUUUAGUUAACGCGCACCGAGCUCGAACCGAUACUUUAUUGACUUGUUACGUUUGGCAUUUUGAUAGAAAUUUUAUAUAUUGUGUUU